UUCUAUAAUUUUUCAACGUGUAACGCUCAUCGUUGUUUUUACCCUCUUACAUCUUCUUCCCGCUCGGUUCUCUGAAAAACAGGAAAAAAAGGAAUCUUCCCGCUCAGUUCCGUUUUUUUUUUUUUUUUUUUCAAAAUUUCGCUCCAUUUUCCCGACAAAAAUCAUGAGAGAAAUAAAGCGAAACGCCGAAACCCCAGGAAGAGGUAGAGACAACAGAGAUGGUGAAUUGCAACGCCUUUAGCAAAACCAUUUGCUCACUCUGCUACAAAGAUUUCGAUCCCAUUGUUGAGGAUCUCCAAGUCAUCUCCAUCUGCGGCCAUGUCUUCCAUGAGCUCUGUCUGCAAGAGCGGUUCGGGUACUUUUCGAGCAAGAAGAAGUACAGUUGCCCGGUGUGCAAACAAAGUUGCAAGCCAAACGACGUCGCUCGGCUUUAUUUUCAAUGGGGUGAUUCGAGUCUCACUCAGAGUCCGGUUAUCGAACGCGAGGAAGAUUCCGAGGCGUUGCGUCGAGAGGUGAGAAGGUUGGAGGCCAUGGCGCUAGGGCUUGGUUCUGCUUUGGAGCGUAAGGAGAAGGAGGUCAAAGGGCUCAACCAGGAGCUUUAUCUAUCCAAGGAGCAGGUAAAAAAAGAAGUUGAAUUAAAGAAUGAAGCCUUGAAACAACAAACUUCCAUGCAACAGCUGCUUCAUAUGAAAUCUAAGGAAUUUGAUAAAUUGACUUUGGAGUGCUUGAGGUUGCAAGAAAGAAAUAGAGCAUUGGACAAAGAGCUUGCAGCUGUUGAACUGGUAUCUGAUCUAGAUCUGGAUGAAAAGGACGUUUUAAAGAUUGCAGCUCUUGGUAAUGGAGCCGACAACAAAGACACAAUAGAUGUUCUAAGAACGUCCUUGGUGAUGUCUAAUAGGAAUUACAAGGAAUUGAUGGCCAAAUACAAUCUACUUGAACAGAAAGAAGCUCGUCACAGUAAAAAGCUAGAGAAGGCUAGAGGAAAGAUAAAUAAAUUGAAGACAAAGGUACAAGAAUUGGAGACUGCUGUUGAAGUUAAGAAUACUGAAGUUUUGAGGGCUUUAAAAGCUUCAAAGAAAACUCGAGGUGGAGGAUUUAUUCAGCACGGUGUAAAUCAGGCAGCUUCUGAUAGAAAGAAAGAAACUUCAGUUCUUGGACUGAGCAAUCUGGUUGAGGCGUUGGGUUCAAUAACUGGUACUUGUGCCGAUACUGCCAAGACUCCUGCUGCUGAUAUUGCUGAUGUUGUGAUUAUUGAUGACGAUGAACAAGUUCAACCCAUGAUGAACAUCAGAAACGAAUCUCCUAUCCCACAACAACUUCCCAGACCAGGGGAUGCAUGCUUCUCUGGUGGCUUGCUUGGUCCUGAUGGAACAAACAGGUAUUUAGGUAAAUGGUGCAAGCGGAAGCAUAAGAACAGAACGGCAAUAGCACAAGAUCCAAGCUGUACAAGCUGACGGAAGAGGUGGUUUAAUUAAAGUUCUGAGGUCUCUGAACCAAUUUACAGUGGAUGAAAAAGGAGAAUUCACCAGGGACAAAGAGGUGAAAGUAUUAAGCUAAGACAAAUAGCUUGCAGUCCCAAGGCCCAGGCUAUUCGUGGGCGGCUUGCAAAUAUAUACCGAGGGUGAAAAAAAUAGUUCUCUCCAUAAUUUCCGUCUGUAAAAGCCUGCGAAAUGCUUUGCUGACCAAUCAUAUUAUUGUUUUGUUCUGUAAGACUUACUUUUGCGUUUGAUGAGAACUUUUUACCCAUAAAUUAUUUAUCAAACAAGUUAAUGGGCUGUCAAGGGGUCAAUUCUAAUGGAAAAAGAGUUUGGACUUUCAGAUAAGAGGUCUCCGACAUCACAGUUGCGUGUGUGUGAGAAAUUCAUCUUCUAAUUUAAAUUGUUGCGUGUACUAAAAAAAUUAGUUAAUGUGUCAAUGAGCAAGACUACAAUCAUCACUUAAAUUUAUAGUUCUAGUCGUUGGUUGGUGGAAUGUGGAUGGAAUGAAAAUAGAAAUAAAAUGUAAUAAUUCACUUUUUUAGUUGGAAAAAAAUAAAUUAGAAUCAGAAGUUCUUGGGGUUAGCCCAAGUGGUGAGAAUAGGUAAAAAAUGGAUCAUAAUCAGGUUAUGUCUAGGGUUCAUUCUCUCCAAUUAAACAACCAAAAAAUAAAUAGUAGGUUACAAUUAGAAAUAGAAUCAGAGUUUUAAAAAAAUUGGUUAUCAGUUCAUUAGUUAUCCUUUAAAUAUCUUUUUAUUUAUUUAUCAAAUGACAAAUUAUAUUCUGGCCUCUUUGACUUUUUGCCAUUGCCAAUUGAUAAGAGCUCUCUCUCUCUUUCUCUCUCUCUCUCCUUCUCU